UACAGAGGGUGCGAGCGUUAAUCGGAAUUACUGGGCGUAAAGCGCGCGUAGACGGUUUUGUAAGACAGAUGUGAAAUCCCCGGGCUCAACCUGGGAACUGCAUUUGUGACUGCAUCGCUGGAGUGCGGCAGAGGGGGAUGGAAUUCCGCGUGUAGCAGUGAAAUGCGUAGAUAUGCGGAGGAACACCGAUGGCGAAGGCAAUCCCCUGGGCCUGCACUGACGCUCAUGCACGAAAGCGUGGGGAGCAAACAGG
rnacentral:rRNA from 1 species